AUGAACGCUGGCGGCGUGCCUAAUACAUGCAAGUCGAACGCUUCACAUAUGUGAAGAGUGGCGAACGGGUGAGUAAUACAUAAGUAACCUGGCCUUUACAGGGGGAUAACUAUUGGAAACGAUAGCUAAGACCGCAUAGGUGUCAUAACCGCAUGGAGAUGACAUGAAAUAUGCUGCGGCAUAGGUAGAGGAUGGACUUAUGGCGCAUUAGCUAGUUGGAGGGGUAACGGCCCACCAAGGCGACGAUGCGUAGCCGACCUGAGAGGGUGACCGGCCACACUGGGACUGAGACACGGCCCAGACUCCUACGGGAGGCAGCAGUAGGGAAUUUUCGGCAAUGGGGGAAACCCUGACCGAGCAACGCCGCGUGAAGGAAGAAGUAAUUCGUUAUGUAAACUUCUGUCAUAGAGGAAGAACGGUGCGUGUAGGGAAUGACAUGCAAGUGACGGUACUCUAUAAGAAAGCCACGGCUAACUACGUGCCAGCAGCCGCGGUAAUACGUAGGUGGCGAGCGUUAUCCGGAAUUAUUGGGCGUAAAGAGGGAGCAGGCGGCACUAAGGGUCUGUGGUGAAAGAUCGAAGCUUAACUUCGGUAAGCCAUGGAAACUGUAGAGCUAGAGUGUGUGAGAGGAUCGUGGAAUUCCAUGUGUAGCGGUGAAAUGCGUAGAUAUAUGGAGGAACACCAGUGGCGAAGGCGACGAUCUGGCGCAUAACUGACGCGCAGUCCCGAAAGCGUGGGGAGCAAAUAGGAUUAGAUACCCUAGUAGUCCACGCCGUAAACGAUGAGUACUAAGUGUUGGGAGUCAAAUCUCAGUGCUGCAGUUAACGCAAUAAGUACUCCGCCUGAGUAGUACGUUCGCAAGAAUGAAACUCAAAGGAAUUGACGGGGGCCCGCACAAGCGGUGGAGCAUGUGGUUUAAUUCGAAGCAACGCGAAGAACCUUACCAAGUCUUGACAUCCCUUGACGAUGCUGGAAACAGUAUUUCUCUUCGGAGCAAGGAGACAGGUGGUGCAUGGUUGUCGUCAGCUCGUGUCGUGAGAUGUUGGGUUAAGUCCCGCAACGAGCGCAACCCUUAUUGCCAGUUACUACGCAAGAGGACUCUGGCGAGACUGCCGUUGACAAAACGGAGGAAGGUGGGGAUGACGUCAAAUCAUCAUGCCCCUUAUGACCUGGGCUACACACGUGCUACAAUGGCGCAUACAAAGAGAAGCGACCUCGCGAGAGCAAGCGGACCUCAUAAAGUGCGUCGUAGUCCGGAUUGGAGUCUGCAACUCGACUCCAUGAAGUCGGAAUCGCUAGUAAUCGUAGAUCAGAAUGCUACGGUGAAUACGUUCCCGGGCCUUGUACACACCGCCCGUCACACCAUGAGAGUCGGUAACACCCGAAGCCGGUGGCCUAACCGCAAGGAAGGAGCUGUCUAAGGUGGGACUGAUGAUUGGGGUG
rnacentral:rRNA from 1 species